rnacentral:rRNA from 1 species
GAUGAACGCUGGCGGCGUGCCUAAUACAUGCAAGUCGAGCGAACGGACGAGAAGCUUGCUUCUCUGAUGUUAGCGGCGGACGGGUGAGUAACACGUGGAUAACCUACCUAUAAGACUGGGAUAACUUCGGGAAACCGUAGCUAAUACCGGAUAAUAUUUUGAACCGCAUGGUUCAAAAGUGAAAGACGGUCUUGCUGUCACUUAUAGAUGGAUCCGCGCUGCAUUAGCUAGUUGGUAAGGUAACGGCUUACCAAGGCAACGAUGCAUAGCCGACCUGAGAGGGUGAUCGGCCACACUGGAACUGAGACACGGUCCAGACUCCUACGGGAGGCAGCAGUAGGGAAUCUUCCGCAAUGGGCGAAAGCCUGACGGAGCAACGCCGCGUGAGUGAUGAAGGUCUUCGGAUCGUAAAACUCUGUUAUUAGGGAAGAACAUAUGUGUAAGUAACUGUGCACAUCUUGACGGUACCCAAUCAGAAAGCCACGGCUAACUACGU